GGAGCAUUCGUCAAACUUUUAUGACCCCCUCCCCCACCCGGUGACAGUUGCUAUCUGACAGGUCGUUUUUAUGACCCUUUGACAGGGGGGCGGGACCAUCAAUCAAAAUCUGUACAAGUUGUCAACUUUAGACAGAAAGUAUUUAAUGGUUUUAUUGCCGGUCAUUUAGAGUGAUUGUUUUUCCUGAGUGUGUUUUAUGUCAAGCGUAUGGUGUCAUGUUUAAUGACGGCUCGUGUUUGUGACAUUUGCUAUCUAUCACCCCUCCCUUUUCGACCCGUGCGCUUCUCACCACUGCGUGUCACACAGUGAUGUGUGUGUUGUUGAAUCUAAAGUUUUGCAACAUCAAAAGUUUAUUUAAAGGCAAUCACUAAUUAUAUAUAUAUAUAUAUAUAUAUAUGUAUGUAUUAGAUGUAGCUGGUUAAACUUAAAGGCCGAUAUUUUCUAUCGAACUAGUCUAUUUUCUGUUCAGACACAAAGUUUUCUGAUGCUGAUAUUAUGUCAGUGUGUGUUUGUGUGGGGGUCGUGUGCUGUAAUCUUUGAAAGUUUAUGACCGAACCUUUAUUGGGGAGCGACAAGAGAUCUCCCGGACUCAGUUUGGAUGGAGCAGAGCUGUUAUACUCAAGUCUAUUGCGAAAUUGUCUAAACUGGUAUUAACUAUUCCUGGUAAAUCGCGGACAAGAGUGGCCUGAACAAAAAAGUCAGCCCGAGACUAGAACCUCCCGCAGCGUAACAAGGAAAUCUUGGAGCAAAGAGACGCCGAGUGGCUCGUGUUGUGCGGUUUGGAUAUCUGCUGCAAAGCGAACGUUGUGUGUACUAUUGCAAAAUAGCGGAUCUCCCCGGUUAGGAUACAGACCACAACGCUUUGGACGUAUCUUUAAAAAAGAGAAAAAUCAGAGACUUUUUGGAUUUGUCUGGGGACAUUUUAAACAUUUUGUGUCAAAUUGGAUUUAAAACAUUUCGGAUACUGGAUACCUAGUUUGAUUUGUCCACAGAUCUUGUUUAAGACGUUUUCACCUCAUUUUAGGGUUUAUUUUUAAUUAAAGGCUUCUUAAAACAUGUAUGAAAAUGUGUAUAUUAUACAAUGAGUCUUAUAUUGUCUGCUCUGACAAAAAUAAAUUAUUAUUUUAGAUCUUA